AGCGAACGCUGGCGGCAGGCUUAACACAUGCAAGUCGAGCGGGCGUAGCAAUACGUCAGCGGCAGACGGGUGAGUAACGCGUGGGAACGUACCUUUUGGUUCGGAACAACCCAGGGAAACUUGGGCUAAUACCGGAUAAGCCCUUACGGGGAAAGAUUUAUCGCCGAAAGAUCGGCCCGCGUCUGAUUAGCUAGUUGGUGAGGUAAUGGCUCACCAAGGCGACGAUCAGUAGCUGGUCUGAGAGGAUGAUCAGCCACAUUGGGACUGAGACACGGCCCAAACUCCUACGGGAGGCAGCAGUGGGGAAUAUUGGACAAUGGGCGCAAGCCUGAUCCAGCCAUGCCGCGUGAGUGAUGAAGGCCCUAGGGUUGUAAAGCUCUUUUGUGCGGGAAGAUAAUGACGGUACCGCAAGAACAAGCCCCGGCUAACUUCGUGCCAGCAGCCGCCGCGGUAA
rnacentral:rRNA from 1 species